AUUGAACGCUGGCGGCAGGCCUAACACAUGCAAGUCGAGCGGAUGAAGGGAGCUUGCUCCUGGAUUCAGCGGCGGACGGGUGAGUAAUGCCUAGGAAUCUGCCUGGUAGUGGGGGAUAACGUCCGGAAACGGGCGCUAAUCCCGCAUACGUCCUGAGGGAGAAAGUGGGGGAUCUUCGGACCUCACGCUCUCAGAUGAGCCUAGGUCGGAUUAGCUAGUUGGUGGGGUAAAGGCCUACCAAGGCGACGAUCCGUAACUGGUCUGAGAGGAUGACCAGUCAAACUGGAACUGAGACACGGCCCAGACUCCUACGGGAGGCAGCAGUGGGGAAUAUUGGGCGAUGGGCGAAAGCCUGAUCCAGCCAUGCCGCGUGUGUGAAGAAGGUCUUCGGAUUGUAAAGCACUUUAAGUUGGGAGGAAGGGAAGUAAGUUAAUACCUUGCUGUUUUGACGUUACCAACAGAAUAAGCACCGGCUAACUUCGUG
rnacentral:rRNA from 1 species